rnacentral:rRNA from 1 species
AUUGAACGCUGGCGGCAGGCCUAACACAUGCAAGUCGAACGGUAACAGGAAGAAGCUUGCUUCUUUGCUGACGAGUGGCGGACGGGUGAGUAAUGUCUGGGAAACUGACUGAUGGAGGGGGAUAACUACUGGAAACGGUAGCUAAUACCGCAUAACGUCGCAAGACCAAAGAGGGGGACCUUCGGGCCUCUUGCCAUCGGAUGUGCCCAGAUGGGAUUAGCUAGUAGGUGGGGUAACGGCUCACCUAGGCGACGAUCCCUAGCUGGUCUGAGAGGAUGACCAGCCACACUGGAACUGAGACACGGUCCAGACUCCUACGGGAGGCAGCAGUGGGGAAUAUUGCACAAUGGGCGCAAGCCUGAUGCAGCCAUGCCGCGUGUAUGAAGAAGGCCUUCGGGUUGUAAAGUACUUUCAGCGGGGAGGAAGGGAGUAAAGUUAAUACCUUUACUCAUUGACGUUACCCGCAGAAGAAGCACCGGCUAACUCCGUG